UACGUAGGCAGCGAGCGUUGUUCGGAGUUACUGGGCGUAAAGCGUGCGUAGGCGGUGUCCUAAGUCUGUUGUGAAAUCUCCCGGCUUAACCGGGAGGGUGCGGCGGAAACUGGGAUGCUGGAGUGCGGGAGAGGUAAGCGGAAUUCCCGGUGUAGCGGUGAAAUGCGUAGAUAAUCGGGAGGAACACCUGCGAUGUAGAUGGCUUACUGGACCGUAACUGACGCUGAGGACGAAAGCGUGGGUAGC
rnacentral:rRNA from 1 species